rnacentral:rRNA from 1 species
GACGAACGCUGGCGGCGUGCUUAACACAUGCAAGUCGAACGGAAAGGCCCUGCUUUUGUGGGCUGCUCGAGUGGCGAACGGGUGAGUAACAUGUGAGUAACCUGCCCUUGACUUUGGGAUAACUUCAGGAAACUGGGGCUAAUACCGGAUAGGAGCUCCUGCUGCAUGGUGGGGGUUGGAAAGUUUCGGCGGUUGGGGAUGGACUCGGGGCUUGUCAGCUUGUUGGUGGGGUAGUGGCUUACCAAGGCUUUGACGGGUAGCCGGGCUGGGAGGGGGACCGGCCCAGUUGGGACUGGAAUGAGGCACGGACUACUACGGGAGGGGAGGGUGGGGUAUAGUACAUAGUGGGCGGGAGGCUAGUGCGAUCACGCCGCGUGGGGGGUGACGGGCUUCGGGUUGUAAUCCGCUUUCGCCUGUGACGAGGCGUGAAUGACGGUAAUGGGUAAAGAAGCACCGGCUAACUACGUG